rnacentral:lncRNA from 1 species
GAACACUGCACCUUACGUACAGAAUCUACUUAUCAACAGUUAAAUCACCUUGCAGAGUGAGGCUCCUGGUUUAUGUGCUGUGCAACGUGGGGGCAGGACCCACGAGUUUAAAAGCAGAGGCAAGGACCUUUGUCACAGUGGCUGUGCCCUUGUGGCUCUGCUUGCCUGAUGCAUCAGAGACAAACAUGCAACUCCCCAUGUCCUGGCCAGCUUGGAAACUUGGCUGCUGAGCAGAAGACAGCCUCACAUAUAGUAAAGUUUGCUCAUGUACUGGCUGUUGGGAGCAGUAAAUGCCCUACCUCAGUGUGGAAUAUACCUGCACUGCCUACAGAGACCACAUGCACAACUCCAGGGCAGAGGAGGCGAUGGCACUCCUCACUCACUGGGUGUGAAGCUCAGGUAAGUCCUGUUGAUGAGGUACUUGAACAAACUCCUAAAAAAAAACACCUUUCAGCUGGAAUGUGGAAAAGAAACCAGAAGAAUGAGAAAACAGGAAUGCCUUUGCAAUAUUGGAUGCAAAACAUUUCUAUUGCAAUGAAAGAUGGAGUUGAUGAGUACCUUGCAAGACUGGGCCACCAUUACUUCAAGGAUGAUCCCAUAUUCUGGGGACCUCAGGAAGUGCACCAAUGCAGUCUACUCAGUGACUUGCUAAAUAAAUAAG